UGAGAUAUUGGAGGAGAUCCAAAAGAAAAGGUAAAGUUUUCGAAAGUAUUAAAAAUGAUUUUUUAGUUAUCUUUUAUUUGAAAUUAUCUUCAACAAACAAAAGCAACUAAUUUUUUAAGAGUGCUAAAAUGAUCUAAAACAUCGGGUAUAUGUUUUUUUUUUCCAUAAAUUAUCUCCGAGUUAUUUUCAUCAAAAUUAUCUCCGAGUUAUUUUCAUCCCCAUGCUUUUAUUAAGGUUUGGAAUUGCCUUCUUGCAAGACAAUAAACAAAUAUAAUAGGGAAAAUAUAUAAUGAGACCAUUUACUUUUGAUACAAGGUGGUCACAGUUAAUCUUGAUCAUUGGAUGUGAAAUUGGGUAGCUGCAUUUAUUUCAUUGACCGAGCUCAAAGUUCAAAAAAAAUUUUCUCAAACUAUAUGACACGCCCAAGCUAUCAAAUUUCAUAUCGGAUGGUUAUAAAUAAUCAUGACCUCUCUGUACCAAUGGUAAAUGGCCUCAUCGUAUACAAUUCCAAUAUAAAAUCCCUUUCGCAAGACCAGACAAAUAUAUCGCUUUUAUAUAGUAGUGAUUUUCAAUUCAUUUUAUAUGACUUUGAAUUAGCUUUGCUCCUCUACUAUAUCUAUCAUUUUUUAAAGGAAAAGUAUACCAAGAGAUAAUUUAAUCUUGCUACAAGAGGUCAUGUCCUCUCCUAUAUCUAUCAUUUUUUAAAGGAAAAGUAUACCAAGAGAUAAUUUAAUCUUGCUACAGGAGGUCAUAAACACUAUUGGUAGUAGAUUUCAAAUCAUAAACACUAUUGGUAGUAGAUUUCAAAUCAGACUAUAAGACUAGAUUCGAAGUUCAAAAAAAAAACAAAAUCUUGAACUUUGUAUUACAACUCAAGCCCUAUAAUUUAACAUCUAAUGACUACAAAUAAUUUUGACAUCUUUAUAAUAAAAAUGAACGGUUUCAUGGUAUAAAAUCCCUUUUUUAUAUCUUCUCUCUCCUCUAUCCACGAUUUCUUAAACUUCUUCUUUUCUUUUUAUUUUUUCUCCUCUAUGCACGAUUUCUUAUACCCAUCCUUUCCUUUAAAUCUUGGCCAUUCAAGUAUUAUAGUCCAUAUUUGCAGUUGUCUUUUGACAUAUUCUCAUCUUGGCCUUGGCCAUUUAAGUCUUUAUAGUUCAUAUUUGCAGUUCUCUUUUGACAUAUUCUCAUCAACGCUGCGAGGACUGGAAGAGGACCCUUGUCUUUUUUGACAUUUCUGCAUCAACAACAGAGGACACAUGGAUACUGGUUUUACUGGUUUUAGUUGAGUUUUUUUGGAGUGAUUGAUGGUAGGGAUGGCGAUGAAAGUGAAAGUGAAUGAAUAUUUUUUAUUUAUUUUUUUUAUCAUAAAACUUUCUCUUUUUUUUUUCUUUUUUUUCUUUUUUACGAUUUUUUAUUGUCGCGCUGAGUUUCAGGUUGGGUCAACACGUAGGUCUAGGUCCGGGUCUUGAGUCCAAUAGUGACGUUCAGGUACGGGUACGAGCCCUAAUUGGUUGUAACGGGACCCUACCCAUUGCCAAGCACUAAGUCGUUGUAAACUACAACCUUGUAAUGAUGGAAUAUUGUAGUUUCUUUUUGAUCCCUUGCGCCCUUUAUCUCUCUUGAAGAUUGAUGGUAAUUUGAG
rnacentral:lncRNA from 1 species